rnacentral:rRNA from 1 species
GACGAACGCUGGCAGCGUGCCUAAUACAUGCAAGUAGAACGCUGAAGAGAGGAGCUUGCUCUUCUUGGAUGAGUUGCGAACGGGUGAGUAACGCGUAGGUAACCUGCCUUGUAGCGGGGGAUAACUAUUGGAAACGAUAGCUAAUACCGCAUAACAAUGGAUGACACAUGUCAUUUAUUUGAAAGGGGCAAUUGCUCCACUACAAGAUGGACCUGCGUUGUAUUAGCUAGUAGGUGAGGUAAUGGCUCACCUAGGCGACGAUACAUAGCCGACCUGAGAGGGUGCUCGGCCACACUGGGACUGAGACACGGCCCAGACUCCUACGGGAGGCAGCAGUAGGGAAUCUUCGGCAAUGGGGGCAACCCUGACCGAGCAACGCCGCGUGAGUGAAGAAGGUUUUCGGAUCGUAAAGCUCUGUUGUAAGUCAAGAACGGGUGUGAGAGUGGAAAGUUCACACUGUGACGGUAGCUUACCAGAAAGGGACGGCUAACUACGUG